CUCCUGUCCAGCCUACUGCGGUUGCACCUCCCUGUGCACUUUGUCAGCAUCGCGAUAACCCAGAAGAGAACACGUGUAGAUGGCCUCUAUGAAGCUCUUUUGCUUGUUAGCAGCUGGUCAAAGUUAGCAGAAAUGGAAGGAAGUGAACUCAACCAACAAAAGAGAACUGAGCAAUUCAUCCCGGGUGUGAUGUUGUCUUCUCCCAAGGACCUUCUCCAACCACACUACUCGAAGUGUGUCCAGAAUUGGUGGGCUCUUGGUCUCGCUGACUUCAAGAAUGAAGCCGUGGACCCUCGCGAUUAAACAAGUGCAACUUUCCCAAUCUCACACAACUACUUGUGGAGCCAGGAUUCCAUACAGGCAAUGUGAGUGCACAUCCAAAACUUGAAACCACUGAACAAUAAUGCUUUCUGAAAGAUAAGGAAUUUAUUCAUGAUCAUUGGUGCUAUCUGGCUUGCUCGUCCUCCUCAACUUCCAGUACUGUUGAAUCGUUGUGUAUAAUUUGACCAACAUUAAAUCUUUCAUUUUUGACACGGAGUCUCGCUCUGUCGCCCAGGCUGGAGUGCAGUGGCAUGAUCUCAGCUCACUGCAAGCUCCGCCUCCCAGGUUCAUGCCAUUCUCCUGCCUCAGUCUCCCAGGUAGCUGGGACUACAGGCACCCCCCAACCAUGCCCGGCUAAUUUUUUGUAUUUUUAGUGGAGACGGGGUUUCACCGUGUUAGCCAGGAUGGUCUUGAUCUCCUGACCUUGUGAUCCGCCCGCCUUGGCCUCCCAAAGUGCUGGGAUUACAGGCACAACAUUAAAUCUUUUUAAAUGAUACGUGUCUCUUUGGUUAGUUUUCACACAGUUAUAGGUCAUAAACCAUUUUUACCUUACCUUUCUCACUUAACAUGUACUAUAAGCAUUUUCUAUAAUAUUUUACUUCUAUCUCUUUAGCAACUGAGCCCUAAAGCCCGUCCAUGUGUCUAGACUGGUCUGUUGCUCCUUCACUUUUUAAAAGAUAGAAAAAUAUAGUUACUACUAGUUGAAACUGCAUCCUGAAUUUGACUUUCCAAAAGUUGACGCAUUCCAUCAUGAAGUGGCCUGGUCUUUCCCCAGCAGCAGCAAUCCAACAAACUAGCAGCUGACUAUGCCCAAGUAGAAAACCCCAUACUCUAGAAGGGGCUACAUCACAUCCCCCUGGCAAGUUGCUCUCUUCACCCAGUGAAUUUAC
rnacentral:lncRNA from 1 species